GUCUACGACCAUACCACCAGGAAAACACCGGUUCUCGUCUGAUCACCGAAGUUUUAAGCCUGGUCGGGCGAAGUUAGUACUUGGAUGGGUGACCGCCUGGGAAUACUUCGUGUUGUAGACU
rnacentral:rRNA from 1 species